rnacentral:rRNA from 1 species
ACCCGCUGAACUUAAGCAUAUCAAUAAGGGGAGGAAAAGAAACCAACAGGGAUUGCCUCAGUAACGGCGAGUGAAGCGGCAAAAGCUCAAAUUUGAAAUCUGGCGUCUUCGGCGUCCGAGUUGUAAUUUGUAGAGGUGGCUUUGGGUGUACAGCCAGGUCUAUGUUCCUUGGAACAGGACGUCAUGGAGGGUGAGAAUCCCGUAAAUGGCUUGGCCAGUGCCUAUGUAUAGCGCCUUCGACGAGUCGAGUUGUUUGGGAAUGCAGCUCUAAGUGGGUGGUAAAUUCCAUCUAAAGCUAAAUACUGGCGAGAGACCGAUAGCGCACAAGUAGAGUGAUCGAAAGGUGAAAAGCACUCCGGAAGGAGAGUUAAACAGCACGUGAAAUUGUUGAAAGGGAAGCGCUUGAGACCAGACUCAGGUAAAGUUGAUCAACCUCCAUUCUUGGUGGUGCACUCUUCUUUGCCCGGGCCAGCAACAGUUUUGGCGGUGGUAUAAAGGUUUAGGGAAUGUGGCUCUCUUCGGGGAGUGUUAUAGCCCUAUUCGUAAUGCUGCCUGUCGAGACUGAGGACCGCGCUUCGGCUAGGUUGUUGGCAUAAUGGUCUU